CUCCGGUUGAUCCUGCCGGACCCGACUGCUAUCAGAGUGGGACUAAGCCAUGCGAGUCAACAUAGCAAUAUGUGGCAUACGGCUCAGUAACACGUAGUCAACAUGCCCAGGGGACGUGGAUAACCUCGGGAAACUGAGGAUAAACCGCGAUAGGUCAUCACUUCUGGAAUGGGUAAUGACUUAAAUCUAUAUGGCCCCUGGAUUGGACUGCGGCCGAUCAGGCUGUUGGUGAGGUAAUGGCCCACCAAACCUGUAACCGGUACGGGCUCUGAGAGGAGGAGCCCGGAGAUGGGCACUGAGACAAGGGCCCAGGCCCUAUGGGGCGCAGCAGGCGCGAAACCUCUGCAAUAGGCGAAAGCUUGACAGGGUUACUCUGAGUGAUUUCCGUUAAGGAGAUCUUUUGGCACCUCUAAAAAUGGUGCAGAAUAAGGGGUGGGCAAGUCUGGUGUCAGCCGCCGCGGUAAUACCAGCACCCCGAGUGGUCGGGACGUUUAUUGGGCCUAAAGCAUCCGUAGCCGGUUCUACAAGUCUUCCGUUAAAUCCACCUGCUUAACAGAUGGGCUGCGGAAGAUACUAUAGAGCUAGGAGGCGGGAGAGGCAAGCGGUACUCGAUGGGUAGGGGUAAAAUCCGUUGAUCCAUUGAAGACCACCAGUGGCGAAGGCGGCUUGCCAGAACGCGCUCGACGGUGAGGGAUGAAAGCUGGGGGAGCAAACCGGAUUAGAUACCCGGGUAGUCCCAGCUGUAAACGAUGCAGACUCGGUGAUGAGUUGGCUUAUUGCUAACUCAGUGCCGCAGGGAAGCCGUUAAGUUUGCCGCCUGGGGAGUACGGUCGCAAGACUGAAACUUAAAGGAUUUGGCGGGGGAGCA
rnacentral:rRNA from 1 species